UACGAAGGGGGCUAGCGUUGUUCGGAAUUACUGGGCGUAAAGCGCGCGCAGGCGGCUCUUCAAGUCAGGGGUGAAAGCCCAGAGCUCAACUCUGGAACUGCCUUUGAGACUGUAGAGCUUGAGUACGGGAGAGGUGAGUGGAAUUCCCAGUGUAGAGGUGAAAUUCGUAGAUAUGACAUAGAACACCAAUUGCGAAGGCAGCUGGCUACACAUAUAUUGACACUGAGGCACGAAAGCGUGGGGAUCAAACAGG
rnacentral:rRNA from 1 species